UGUAAAUUAUUUACUUGCAGUAAUAUUUUAGUAUCGAUUUUUAUGAUUAUGUCCCUAAUUUAAAUACCUUCUAGAUCCGCCAAUAACCAUGAACUGGUAAGGUUGACUAAAUAAAUUUUACGGGAUUUCUUUCCACUAUUAUUGUUUACUUUCUUCUUAUAACGGACUAGAUUUUAACCUGCGGUAUACCGCGGGACGAUUUAUUUUUUAAAAGUAGGAUAUAUUAAAACUUGCAAAUUUAAUUUUUACAAAAUAUUUAUAUUUUACAGUUUAUAAUUGUUACCGCAGUUUUUAGCUUAAAGUUUUAUAUUUUAUAGUUUAAUUUUAUAUAUAGUAACAUUAUACAUACCACAUAACAUUUUUGGUUUUAUAUAAUCUUUUCUAAAUUAGUAUGAUUUGAUAUGUUUAAUAUUAAUGGUCUUAAA
rnacentral:sRNA from 1 species